CGAAAUAGCUCAAUUGGUAGAGCAACUGAAUCGUAAUCAGUAGGUUACGGGUUCAAUUCCUGUUUUCGGC
rnacentral:tRNA from 1 species